rnacentral:rRNA from 1 species
CACGUAGUUAGCCGGGGCUUCUUAGUCGGGUACCGUCUUGUCUCGUUCCUGCUGAUAGAGCUCUACAUACCGAAAUACUUCUUCACUCACGCGGCGUCGCUGCAUCAGGGUUUCCCCCAUUGUGCAAUAUUCCCCACUGCUGCCUCCCGUAGGAGUUUGGGCCGUGUCUCAGUCCCAAUGUGGCCGUCCACCCUCUCAGGCCGGCUACUGAUCGUCGCUUUGGUAGGCCGUUACCCUGCCAACUGGCUAAUCAGACGCGGGUCCAUCCCAUACCACCGGAGUUUUUCACACAGGAGCAUGCGCUCCCGUGCGCUUAUGCGGUAUUAGCACCUGUUUCCAGGUGGUAUCCCCCGGUAUGGGGCAGGUUACCCACGCGUUACUCACCCGUCCGACCACUAAGAUACUCAUUUCCAAAGUGACAAGCACCCCUUCCGUCAGCCAUCCCCGUUCGACUUGCAUCGUGUUAAGCACGCCGCCAGCCGUUCACUCCGUAGAGCCAGGGACUCAAACUCUCCUA